rnacentral:rRNA from 1 species
CAGGAGGGGGCAAGCGUUGUUCGGAAUUACUGGGCGUAAAGGGCGCGUAGGCGGCCUUCUAAGUCAGACGUGAAAUCCCCGGGCUCAACCCGGGAACUGCCUCUGAUACUGGAUGGCUUGAAUCCGGGAGAGGGAUGUGGAAUUCCAGGUGUAGCGGUGAAAUGUGUAGAUAUCUGGAGGAACACCGGUGGCGAAGGUGGCAUCCUGGACCGGUAUUGACGCUGAGGCGCGAAAGCCAGGGGAGCAAACGGGAUUAGAUACCCCGGUAGUCCUGGCCCUAAACGAUGAAUGCUUGGUGUGGCGGGUAUCGAUCCCUGCCGUGCCGAAGCUAACGCAUUAAGCAUUCCGCUUGGGGAGUACGGUCGCAAGGCUG